rnacentral:lncRNA from 1 species
GUUGUUAGCUGAUAUCCAUGGCAGCUGCAGUGGCAGCGGCAGGGGCCGUGUGUGUGAGUGUGUGCACUAGUUGUACUGGACUGGCAGGAGGGGAGGGGGCAGGGGGGCGGGAGCAGGCUGGAGGGGGAGCAGGGCCGCGCGCGCGCGCGCCGGGUGGGGAGCCGCUCCGCCGCCGUCUCUCUCGCUGGCUCGCUCCCUCCCUCCCUCCGCAGCUUGACCCGGUAGUGAAGGCGGGGAGAGAGGCAGGCUGGGUCCGCCUGGCGGCCUCCGCGAGGAGGCGGGAGCGGAGAGGAGGGCCCCGAGGCCCGCGCGGGGAGGCCGCAGGGAGGGCGGCGGGGCUGCGCGCCCAGGACCCCCGCCUCCCCCGGUGCGGCCCGGGCUGCGGCGACGCGUCGUGGCCUGGACGAGGGGCGCCGGGGCCAGCGCUGCGGCUGUCGGUCCGGGGGUCCUCCUGCGAGGUCCUCCUGCGGGGUCCUGCGGGAUGCAGGGGCCGAGCUGGCGGCGGGCGCGGGACUGCGGGGCGGGCCUGGGCGCAGGAGUUCCCAACUGCGACAGGCUCUGCCUCCCCGUGUGGACGGACCCGACGCCGAGUUUGCAGAACGCCCCUCCGAGGAGCGGGAAGUUGCGGAGAGCCGGGGACCGCGCGGCGCGGGGCGGGCAGCCGGCAGCAUCCCCCGGGCGGGGCUGUCUGGAGAAAGGCGACGCCGGGGAGCGAGGGCAAGGGGCUUCGCUUUUCCGUGUGAGGGGAAACGGAAAGAAAGGGGCUGCGGGUCGGGGUGGGGCAGCAGGGAGCAGCCCCCUCGGAGCAGAGGACCCUUUAACCCGGGACCUGCGGUGGAGACGGCAGGGGCACACCCUCGGCCAGCAAAGCCCGCAGACUCGGGGUUGUAACCUGGGAAGAAGCCUUAGGAUGACCCUGCCGGCCAAGGUCCUGUGACAGAGAAGGCAAAGACGGCUCCGAGGGUGAGCACAGAGGCAGCACCGGAGCUGGAACUCAGCUCGCUGCCCGCAGCCGGCGCCUCUCCCUUCACCGAGUUUGCAGUCGCGAGGAGAGGAGCACAGUCUACGGGGACUGUUGAUGAGCCAAGAAGUGUCGUUGGCGGAGAUGUAGAAAGGAGAGAACAGAGAGAAUCCAAGGAUCUUAAUGGAAGAAUUACAGCAAGAUGAGGAGCAAACUCGAAAGUCAGCGUAGAGAUGGACAAGGCUGAAGCAUUCAGUGAAGAGAUUUCACGCUCCUUUUCUCCGUGUUGCUGAUCUCAAUAAGAGGAAAGAAAGGCUUAAGAUGGAAGAUCUGCUUUGGUGGAAAGAAGAUGAGCGACUUUUGAGCAUCUGUAACGCCCAGCUGCUCCCUGGCACUGGGGAGAAACUAAAGCUGCUACAAAGCCAGACAGAAACCACGUCGGAGAAUCACCCAGGAACAGCUCUGGACCUCCCUUGGAAGAAGAUGAGAUGGCUUCCAGUGGUCCCCAUUUCCCUUUUUGUCCUUCUCUUGCUAACCUUCAAGCACUGCUACCUCCUAGGUUUCUGCCCAAGGCGCCAACAUCACAAUGCUUUCCUUCUUGCUACUAUUGUUGAGAUCUUUCCUUCCUCUACCCUUUUCCCCACUGCUUAGACAAGUCAUUGCCAACCUUCCUCCUAGUGAAAUCACCUCUGCUAUAUAGAAUCAGUUUCUGAAGUGUCAAUUAAUCAGUCAGAUCAAAGAAUACAGGCUAAUGCUGUCUCAGAUCACCACAGUUUCCUGAAAAAAAAAUAUAUCUUCAUCUUUUUUGGUCAGAUUCAUGUAUGACUCUAUCAUAAAAGAUGGUGAUAAAUUUCAAAUCCUGAAGAACUUUCAAGUUAUAUAUUCUGUUUACUAACAGUCCCUAAAACCAAGUAGUUACCCCAAAAGAAACAACCUAUGAUCUGAGUUUUAAAGUUUAAGACACAAAUGGAAUCCUGUCCCUUAGACAAUCACAUUUCGGGGUAGCUUUGCGCCCAGAUCCAUUUCUCAAAGUUCCUAUUCUCUGCCGCGGAUCACAGGAAAUAUAAUUAUUGCAGGCUGUGUUUCUCAGGCUCCAGGUUUGCUGGUUUGCAUCUGGGUUUGGUCAAUGGCAGGAGAGUGGACACUGAGUGAGAAGGGGAAUCCAGGAUAUGUGCCCCCCUCGCUGUCUAAGCAGUGUCUUCAGGAAAGACUGUUCUUCCAAGCUUCUAUCUGCCUCCAGAAAAGCCCUCAUGGUUCCAGCUCCCCAGCUGGUUCUGAUCCCUGAACUCUGGUGGGACUACCUUUUCCCUUUGCCCCUCUGCCUGUGGUAAUGGGUUUCUGUUUCCUGAUCUCUGAGCCAUCUUGCAGAUUUCCUGCUUUGUGUCUCAGCUUUUUCAUGACCUGUAUAACCAGCUCUUUGCAUUCAGAACCCUCUGAUGAUGAAAUAUCAGAGUGACUUUCCUGGUUGGGCUCUUCACAGAUGGGAAGUCCUAGAGACGACAAUACUUAGCAUCGCACAUACUUUCCCACGAGUUAUUUCUGCCAUAAACUGGCUCUGGUUAUUGAGUUUUUCAAAUCAACGUGAGACAGACAAAGGUGAUGAGAAGUCAGUUAGUACAGUUUCUCUUCUAAUUUCGUUGUCUGAAAACUGCCAGAUGGGAAGAUCCACCAAAUACCCAUUUGUUAUGAUGUCAACCUGAGAAAACAAACCAAUUAAAUCCCUUGACAGGAAAAGAAGUGCAUUUUUUUUUUUUGACACCAACUUACUCUUUAUUAUCAGUAAUGAUCAAAGAAGUAAAGAGGAGCAAAUGGCUAAUGGAACUGUUGCAUAAUAGGGCGUUGAUUUUCCUCAAUGCUCGACUUGACAUUAUUUAAUUUAAUUUACCAAGCAUUUAUUGAACAACUAGGCUAUGGCAAGUAAUUGUGCUAAGCCUAAGGAUAGAAUAAUGAAUAAGAGAAAAAACUUGUCCUAUAAGACUUCAGUCUAUAGGGGAGACAUGCUAAUUUAGGACAAAGUGGAAAAAAAUGCAAGUUGCUGACGAGAGAAGGAAGAACUAACUCUUGUUUGGGGGACGUGUAGAGGGGCUGAGCAAGAAAGAUUUUCUGAAGAGGUGAUGUGAUAGUUCAUUUUAUGAGUCAACUUGACUGAAUCACACGAUGCCCAGAGAUCUGGUUAAACAUUAUAUUAUUUCUAGGGGUACCUGUGAAGGGUUUCUGGAAGAGGUUAGCGUUUGAAUUGUUAAACUGAGUAAAGCAUAUUGCCCUCCCCAGUGUGGGUGGGCAUCAUCCAAUCCACUGGGAGCCAGAGUAGAAAAGAGGGUGGAGAAGGGGAGAAUUCCCAGCUCUCCACCUGACCGUUGAGCUGGACCAUUGACCUUCUCCUGGUUCUUAAGCCUCCAGAGUGGGACUGGAAUCUGCAUCACCAGCUCUCCUGUUCUGAGACCUUAAAAUGAUCCUAUCAGCUUUUCUGGGUCUCAAGCCUGCAGACAGCAAAUCAUUGAUCUUCUCCAUAAUCUCGGGAGACUUGUUGUAUAUAUGGAUGAAUGAAUAGGAGAAGAAAUAAAUAAUAACUAAAAGUAGGUGAAUUGAAGGAAAGAUAGGUACUUAGAAACAUAUAGGUAUUAGAAAUAGAACCAAUAGGAUGAAUAUAUAUAAGGUGACAAUGGCGAACACAGUGCUAGGUAUGUUAUUGCAACUCCUUUGAUAUUGUUGGGGCAGCACCUUUAUCUAUGGCUACUUUGGCCCAACAGGCUGAAUUAUACUCUCCUACAUGGGCUUGUACUUCAGCCAAGGAAGGGCAAAACUGCCAACAUUUGUACUGAUUGUAAAGAUGCUUUUGGAGUAGCUCAUGAUUUUGGAAUAUUGUGGAUGUAACCUGGCUUCCUUACUUCCAGUGGAAAUAAAAUUAAAAAUGGCCCCUAUGCUCAGGGAUUAUUGGAUGCAAUACUUUACCCUACUGCAUUAUCUAUUAUUAAGAACCCAGCCAUCCUAAAUUUGACUCUCUGAAAGCUAAGAGAAAGCACCUCUCUGACCCUUCCACAAGGAAUUCUGACCUUUAAGGCAGCAACAGCAGCCAAAACUCUGCCAUGGUCCAAAAGGGAUAUUUUCCCAAAGAAAAACUGGCUAGAGAAGUCCAACAAUUGACAUCAGAAAGAGGAAAACAAGAGUGGAAAUUCAACAAUUGUUGGGUUGAUAAAAAGCGAAAGCCCUGGUCCAGACCAAAUAACAGCCCAGUCCUACCUGAGACUCUAAAAUUCCCAUUCUUAACCACUGUGCAUGCAUUUAACCAUUGGUCUACAGACAAAAUAAUAGCAUUUGUGAAUCGAUACUAGUGGGGAAAUAUUAACAAGGCUGUAAAAAUUGUCUACCUCACUUGUCCCCCUUGCCCAAAAUACAACCCAGGGAAGCCUGUUUGUACUGAUCCUGGACAUGUUAAACGUCUAGUGGGUGAUUCAAAGUUUGGCACAUUGACAUCAAACAACCGUCUCUGCCUCGUGGAUAUAAAUAUGUUUUGGUCGUGGUAUGUUUGUUUUCUCAUGGGACAGAAGCCUUCCUUUACAGACAGGCUACUGCCUCUUCUGUGACUAAAGUCCUUUUGGAAAAGAUUGUCCCUACCUGGGGGAACUCUUCGCAAACUUCAUAGUGAUUGACAAAUCCAUUUUACUGGUCAGGUACUUUGACAAGUCUGCACUGUUUGACCAGUUUUACACUUUCGCUGUACGUACCACCUUCAAUCCUCUGAUUUAGUCAAACACACUAAGGAUAUUAUUAAGACUCAACUGGUGAAAUUUGUGGAGACCCUCCAAAUACCUUGGCCGAAAGCAUUGCCAUUGGUCCUUCUGAAUCUCAGAUCCACCCACUCUGGAACUCAUAAACUCUCACCUUUGAGACAGUCACAGGAUGACCAAUGCACUUGUCUCCUGCCUCUUUUGACCCACAGCUGAUAAAAGGAGAUAGACUCCAAUAUUGCAAAGACUUAAUUGCUUCUAUUAAAAAUAACCAUUCUUUGGUAGAGCAAUCUUUUCACAGUGUGAUCCAGGGAGAUGAAGACCUUACGCAUUGCACCUUGCAACCUGGAGAUUUCGUCUAUUGGAAAAGACACCUCCAGAAGGACCUCUCUUCAGCCUCGCUGGAAAGGCCCCAUCAGAUACUGCUAACUAACCCUUGUGCCACAAAACUGUAUGGAAUAGACAGUUGCAUUCACAUGACACAUCUAAAGAAAGUAUCAGACUCUGACUGGACCUGCACAUCAUCUGGUGACUUAAAAGGAAAGAUUUCCUGGAUUGAAGUAGAUGGCAUCUGAUGAGACAGUUUUCCCAGAUGUCUCGACCAGGCUAGUUGGAAGUUUGUCUGCCAAACCUUUGAUGAUGACAUAAUGCUUCAGAUGACCUCCAAUGCCUGUGCUCUUGAAAACAUAUGGACUUUAGGGAAAAAAAAAAGUGCCUUAGAGUUCUUUCUUCUACCCUCCUUGUUACUAGAAUGUGACCUCAAUAGAUUUCCAAUCUGUUCGCUUUCCCUGUGACGUGGGACACGAUACCCAGGAAAGGUCCUUCCUGGCAUGGAGGAACAAAAGGCCAAUGAAACUGGAAAAACCUGAUUUUUUUAUCAACAAUGCCUUCAAAGAAAGAUCUCAAUCAAAAGGGGAAAAUAUAAAAAUUAAUUAACAGAAAUCUCAUUUAAAAUGGAGUGGGGAGGCCAGAAGGGGCAGCUCUCAUGCCCUACCAUGAUAGCAGAUCCCCACAGGAGCCCCACAUUGACUCAACCAAUGAAAAGCCACUAUAUUUUAAACUCUCAAUUCCUCCAAUGCAAUCUUUGUUUACAGUAGCCCACCCAACUUCCUCUUCCCCUCCAUAAGAGUUUCUCCUCCCCUUGUUGCUCAGAAAUUUCAUGUGGCUUGCCAUGAUUGCAGAUCUUGAAUUGCCACUCUUUGUUAAUCCUAAAUAAGCCCAUUUUUGCUGGAGAAAUAACUGGCUGUCUGUUUGUUUAAGGUUAACAGAUAUAAUGAGUCUGGGAUUCAACACAUGCACAAGAGUUUGUUAAAUGUUGCAAAUAUGAGAUAUGAUAUGCUUUUGAGGAAGAUUAUGAAGAAAGUAUGGGGAGAGUGAAACUGGUUAGGAAAUUCAUGUAAUGUAAACAUACGUCCCUUGACCUGAGAGUAAUGAGAAUGCGAGCUAAGGCAAUAGGAUUGGAAAUUGGAAAGAAAAAUGUGUUCAAUAAAUAUUUAGAAAGUUGUGUUGACUUGGUAUUAUGACUGUUGGCGUGUUUUGUUACAGAGUGAAGAAAACUGGUUAAUGAUAUCAAUAUAUUCAGGUAUUUCAAAAUCUAUCGCUAGAUAGACUGGAAAUAGAAUGGGAAUUAAAAGUCUGUAAUCAGCCCAACAUGGGUAAAAUUGUUUUCAGCUUUAUCAAAUUGUUAAUUGAGGCAGCAAAACAAAUUAGUUAAGAACAGAGAUUCUGGAGUCAGAACCUCUGACUUUGAACUCAGAAUCUGCUAGAAAAUAAUAAUAGCUGUAUAUUGAAUAAAUAGAUGAAACAAUAAGUGCAUAAAUAAGAAAUUAAUAAAAGUAGAUAAAGUGGAAACAAGAUCGGUAUUUAGAAGCAUAUAGGUAUUAGAUAUCUUCGGUGACAUUUCUGUAACUCGACUUCUUUAUCUGUGAAAUGGGGAUAGAAAUAGGACCUACUUGUCAUGGCUGAUAAUAUAUCCAAAGAGGUUAGAAUAGAGUCUAACAAGAUAUUACCAUUGUUCUUUCACCUAGGAUAUUUUUAUUAGAAUACAUCUCAUUGAAUGUUCUUUUUAAGAAAGUAAGGAUUUUUGUGUAUUUUGUUGACUAAAGAAUCUGAAGCGCCCAGAAUAGUGGCUGGCAAAUAAUAGAUGCUUGAUAAUUAUUUAUUGAAGGAAUGAGAAAAUAGCUCUA